AGAAAUGCGUAUGCUACGUGGACUCCUCCAGGGUGUUUUGAGAAACAUAAGGUAGUGUGUUUCCAAUUAUCCCUGUUAUUGCAUAGACCCUGAUCUGACAGAUGCCAAGAUCAAGAUGUAGAAUUUUCAGCUCCUUCUUAAGCCUGGAUGGUGCUAUACUUCUCAGCAUGAGGAUAAUAGACUAAACUUCUGAAACAGAAUAUUUUAAAGAUGAGGACACUUCCAAACUGCCCUCAGAGGAACAUCAGCCAAAGGUCCAUGAUGGAGACAACCAAGCACAGCUUGGAGGAGGAAGCCAUGUUGUUGGAUGGCUUCAGUAAAUUUCAGGGCACAAUCAGUUACUCUGCAACGUUUAGUAAUCUUCAGCAUCUUCCAGUUUCUCCUUCUGUUUGCUUUUGGUGAUCUGUUACUGCACAAUAGUCAUUAAGUUCUGAACUUUAUCUCUGCUCACACUUAUACAUAUUCAAACAAGGAUCAUACUUUGUGUGCACAGCCUAGAAGACUUAAAGACUGUAAUUCCUGAAAAUAGGAACAUCUCUCAUUAGCUCAUUUUUCAAAGUUUUAACACUUCUUCAGCUCUAUCUAUCUAUACUCAUUUUUUAUAGAAUGCCUUAUAAAUUCAAUAUAAAUCAAAUGACUACAUGUUUAUGUAAAUAUGCCACAAGUUUAUAAGGAAGGGCAGAUACUUUGAACACUUUUAAAAAUUACUUCUUUCUGCAAUAACCUAGUAUCACAAAGAACUG